rnacentral:rRNA from 1 species
AGCGAACGCUGGCGGCAGGCCUAACACAUGCAAGUCGAACGAAGCCUUCGGGCUUAGUGGCGGACGGGUGAGUAACACGUGGGAACGUACCUUUUGGUUCGGAAUAACGCAGAGAAAUUUGCGCUAAUACCGAAUGAGCCCUUCGGGGGAAAGAUUUAUCGCCGAAAGAUCGGCCCGCGUUGGAUUAGGUAGUUGGUGUGGUAAAGGCGCACCAAGCCUACGAUCCAUAGCUGGUCUGAGAGGAUGAUCAGCCACACUGGGACUGAGACACGGCCCAGACUCCUACGGGAGGCAGCAGUGGGGAAUCUUGCGCAAUGGGCGAAAGCCUGACGCAGCCAUGCCGCGUGAAUGAUGAAGGUCUUAGGAUUGUAAAAUUCUUUUACCAGGGACGAUAAUGACGGUACCUGGAGAAAAAGCCCUGGCUAACUUCGUGCCAGCAGCCGCAGUAAUAC